rnacentral:rRNA from 1 species
UAGGGAAUCUUCCGCAAUGGACGAAAGUCUGACGGAGCAACGCCGCGUGAGUGAAGAAGGAUUUCGGUUCGUAAAACUCUGUUGUUAGGGAAGAAAGAAUGUAUAGUAACUAUAUACAAAAGAGACGGUACCUAACCAGAAAGCCACGGCUAACUACGUGCCAGCAGCCGCGGUAAUACGUAGGUGGCAAGCGUUGUCCGGAAUUAUUGGGCGUAAAGCGCGCGCAGGUGGUUUAGAAAGUCUGAUGUGAAAGCCCACGGCUCAACCGUGGAGGGUCAUUGGAAACUAAUAAACUUGAGUGCAGGAGAGAAAAGUGGAAUUCCUAGUGUAGCGGUGAAAUGCGUAGAGAUUAGGAGGAACACCGGUGGCGAAAGCGGCUUUUUGGCCUGCAACUGACACUGAGGCGCGAAAGCGUGGGGAGCAAACAGG